GCCAAGACCGCGCCACUGCACUCCAGCCUGGGCGAUGAGACUCUAUCUCAAAAAAAAAAAAAAAAAAAAAAUUAGGAUUGUGUAGCAAAAUUAAAAGGUGAUUUUUUUGUUGUAAUUAGUUCAUACAUAAAUGUGAAACUAGAAAACCCAUCUAGAGCUUGAAUCACCUAGUUUGGUGUCUUUGUUGGACACAUUAACUGGAUACUGGUACCGUUUCAACACGAAGAAUUAACUCAAUCUGGUAGCCCUUGCUUUAGUUUUCAUUCCGUCUUUAAAAAGGAAAACAUACCAUGUUCUCUACCCUGUUACUGCUUCAGAGUUUAAUUCAGGCACUUUAUGUAUUUGCAUAAGCCCCUUGAAAGUGGUCCUAGUUUUCCAUCCUUUUUUAUAGGACACUGAACAACUAAGGGCACUUGUGUUGGAGUGAUAGAGGCAUCAGAAGGCCAUAGACCAUCCAAACCUACCAUCCUCCCAGGCUUCCAUAGCUAAGAGUUUGAAUCAUGUUGGCCCUUUCAUGUGUCAUGCAGUGUUGCCAAAGGGCACACAUUUUUGCCACCUUCAGUCCUAGAGGAGGACCUGGCUCCUGAAUGACAAGGUUCCCUGAAGGUGGGAUUAGUUUAGGUGCCAAGUAGACUGUAACUAUUUGGUCCCCAGCAAUCAACCUGGAAAAUUCUAAGGCUGCCCACAGAUGAGAGGCAAGAGGUCUUCAUAGCUCUUGCCAAGUCCCCUUGUCCCUGCUUCUCUGCAAAAAUCCCUGAAUAUUUACUAUCGUUAAGGGUUGUACUGGGUCCUGGUGGGUCCGGAAUUGGUUCCUUCCAGUACACUCUUGGUGUUGCCAACUUCAAGAAUGAAGCCUUAGACCCUCGAAGUAAGUGUUACAGUUCCUAAAAGAUUGUGAGUCCGGAGUGUCUUUCUUCUGGUGGGUUCGUGUUUAAAUGUGGCGCGACCAGAGUUCAUUACUCCCUUGCGGUUUUGUAGUCUCCCUGACUUAAGGCGUGAAGCCGCAAACCUUCAGUGUUACAGCUCUUAAAGGUGGCGUGCCCAGAGUUGUUCUUUCCUCCCAGUGGGUUCGCUGACUUCAGGAGUGAAGCCAGACCUUCGCACGGAGUGUUACAACUCUUAAAAGCGGCACGUCUGGAAUUGUUUGUUCCUCCCCAUGGGUGCGUGGUCUUGCUGAUUUCAGGAGUAAAACCACAGACUUCUACGGUGAGUGUUACAGCUCAUAAACAUAGAGCAGACACAAAAACUGAGCAUCAGCAAGAUUAUAAAGAUCAAACUACCCACAGGAGGGAAGAGUACCCAAGCUGCUGUUGGCUCCGGUUGCCAGGUUUUAUUCCCUAAUUUGGCCCUGCCCACAUGCUGCUGAUUGGUCCAUUUUUACAGAGUGCUGAUCCGGCGUUUACAAACCUUUAGCUAGACACAGAGUGCUGAUUGGUGCGUUUUUACAGAGUGCUGAUUGGUGUGUUUACAAACCUUUAGGCACAGAGCACUGAUUGGGUGUUUACAAUGCUUUAGCUAGACAAAAAAGUUCUCCAAGUCCCCACCAGACCUGGAGAGCAGCCGGCUUCACCUCUCACUAGCAGUGCAAAGAACAAGCCAUGGUGCUUGCCCUUCUGGAGUCUAGUGGAGGAGAUGGACAUCUAAACAAAGGCAGUAUAGAAAUAAGUGUAUAAUGGAGGUAGAUCCAUAUUACUGUGGGGGCACAAGGAGGGGAGUGGGCAUUUCUGUUAGGGAGUCAAGGUAGGCUUCACAAAGGAACCAAUAGUUAAACUGAGUCUUGUCAGUUGAUUCACGAGUCAGUUGACGUGCACUCCUUUUGUGAGUUGUCUAUGAGGAAUUCACAGACAAGGACAGGGCAAAUGUCUCAGGUAGAGGGAGCAAUAUAUACUGUGCCUCAAAGGCAUGAAACUAGGUAUUACAACUGGGUUCAACCCUUUCCUUAGAGAUCUAAUUCUUUUUAAUGGCUUUUAAGUUGUAUAGAUGUUUACUACUUAGUUUACCAUUCUCCUACUCAUAGAAAUAUGUCUUAUUUAAUACCUCUGAUAGCCGGGCGCGGUGGCUCAUGCCUGUAAUCCCAGCACUUUGGGAGGCCGAGGUGGGUGGAUCACGAGGUCAAGAGAUCGAGACCGUCCUGGCCAAUAUGGUGAAA
rnacentral:lncRNA from 10 species